CAGUAGCCACGGGAAUACGUAGGGCGCAAGCGUUGUCCGGAAUUAUUGGGCGUAAAGAGCUCGUAGGCGGUCUGUCGCGUCUGGUGUGAAAUCCCGAGGCUCAACCUCGGGCUUGCAUCGGGUACGGGCAGACUAGAGUGCGGUAGGGGAGACUGGAAUUCCUGGUGUAGCGGUGGAAUGCGCAGAUAUCAGGAGGAACACCGAUGGCGAAGGCAGGUCUCUGGGCCGCAACUGACGCUGAGGAGCGAAAGCAUGGGGAGCGAACAGGAUUAGAUACCCCGGUAGUCCCUGUCUCUUAUAC
rnacentral:rRNA from 1 species